GGCGGGGUGGGCCCCCGCGCACCUGCUUCCGCCUGACGUGGGCGGGAAGGCAGUCAGCGGGGGCUCUCCAGCCUUGGCAGAACCUGCGUUUCUAGGGGAGUAACGCGGGCCGGCCGGACUCCACUUCCACAGUGCUCAUCACUACCUCGUCUAACUGAUUUCCUCUUCGGAAGGAAGCACCAUCCGCAACCUGCAGGCUUGCUAAGUCGAAGGACUCGUUCAAAGAGCAGACCGCAACCGAGUUUCCGGUGGCGACUCCCUGUCCCGCUCAUGCAAAAGUUAACUUAGCCGGCGCUUAAGCCCCGGAAGAAUGGACGCGUUACACGCUCUGAGAGCAGGCUCACAAUUGUGGGUGGGAGACAGAAGGGUACCCGCCCAACUGAGGCCGAAAGUGAUAAGACAGACAUCCUUCCCAAGAAAUGAUCAAUCUAGGGAGGCAUUUCUAGGGUUCACCUUUCUAGGAGGAGGUGACUUGAGAUAGUAGGUGGGAAAACAAAGGCGUUGGCGUCAUACACACAUGCGUUCCAACCUCUGAACACUUAAGCAAACCUCGAGUGGCCCCAUCUUUAAGGUGCAGUUAACAGUACAUGCCCCAUAACAUAUUUUUGAGGAGUCCCCCCACCAUGAUCAUGUUCAUUUCUCUCUCAUUUUCCUUCCUGUCUUCCUUCGUAUUCUCUCCUUCACUUUUUUUCUCCUUCAUUCCUUAUUAUUAUUAUUUUGCUAAUUGAGGUAUAACUUUCACAUAAUAAACGGCACAGAUCUUAAGAGGACAGCUGGGUGAACUUUUACACAUGUAAUCAGCUCCCAGAUCAAGAUGUAGGAUAUUUUCAUCACCCCAGGUUUCCACCUGCUCCUUUCCAGUCAUACUUAGGUAACAACUAUUCUGACUUCUAUUACUGUAUAUUAAUUUUGCCUGUUCUUAAAUUUAAUAUGAUUGCAGAUAAGCAGUGUACCCUUUUCUGUCUGGUUUCUUUCACUCAACAUAAUGUCUGUAAGAUUCAUCCAUGGUAUUGCACAUAUCAGUAGUUUGUUUAUUACUAGGUAGUGUUCUGCUAUAUGAAUAUACAACAAUUAAUUUAUCCAUUCUACCACUGAUGGGCAUUUUGGUUUUCAGUUUUGGGUUAUUAUGAACGAAGCUGCUGUGAACAUUCGUAUGGUCUUUUGUUCUGUGAGAUUUGACACAUGUCAGAUUUGCUGAGACUGAAUUGAUGUCUUUGGAAAUAAGUUACCCUCAGUCCCUCCAAGGGCCCAUGUCAGACCAUGUAGUCAUGUAGGUGCCCACAAAUGUAAAACUUUUUUGAGCUGUGCACUUAAGAUGAGUGUUCUUUAUGCACUUUAUUGUCUGUAUAUUAAACCUCAAUAAAAAAGUAAAAUCUU